AUGGCAUUACAAAAUCCACAAUUAAAUUCAAAAACUAACUAUAUUAUAUAUAAAUUAAGGGAGUUGUAUCACUUGCUGUCACAAAACAAGCAAAUAGUCCUCUUCUGGACACCAGCCCACAUUGGUGUGAAUGUUUAGUAUUCAAAGGAUGGUCCUUGUAGAUCAACUUUUAAGUAUUUUUAAAACUGCUGAAGAUAUCCCGCGCUCCCUUCAGCAAAUAUUAAGCAUUCAAGAAUGCUUCUCGGCAGUUUAUGGCUUUAUUGUUUCUACUAUAAAUGAAA